CCUACGGGGGGCAGCAGUGAGGAAUAUUGGUCAAUGGGCGGAAGCCUGAACCAGCCAAGUCGCGUGAGGGAAUAAGGCCCUACGGGUCGUAAACCUCUUUUGCCGGGGAGCAAGGGCCGGGACGCGUCCCGGCCCGGAGAGUACCCGGAGAAAAAGCAUCGGCUAACUCCGUGCCAGCAGCCGCGGUAAUACGGAGGAUGCGAGCGUUAUCCGGAUUUAUUGGGUUUAAAGGGUGCGUAGGCGGGCUUUUCAGUCAGCGGUAAAAAUUCGGGGCUCAACCCCGUCCGGCCGCUGAAACUGGGGGC
rnacentral:rRNA from 1 species